AUUGAACGCUGGCGGCAGGCCUAACACCUGCAAGUCGAACGAGUGGCGGACGGGUGAGUAAUGUCUGGGAAACUGCCUGAUGGAGGGGGAUAACUACUGGAAACGGUAGCUAAUACCGCAUACCAUCAGAUGUGCCCAGCUGGGAUUAGCUAGUAGGUGGGGUAACGGCUCACCUAGGCGACGAUCCCUAGCUGGUCUGAGAGGAUGACCCGCCACAGUGGAACGGAGACACGGUCCAGACUCCUAAGGGAGGCAGCAGUGGGGAAUAUUGAACAAAGGGCGCAAGCCUGAUGCAGCCAUGCCGCGUGUAUGAAGAAGGCCGGCGGGUUGUAAAGUACUUUCAGCGGGGAGGCGUUACCCGCAGAAGAAGCACCGGCUAACUCCGUGCCAGCAGCCGCGGUAAUAC
rnacentral:rRNA from 1 species